UUAACUCAAAUUUGUAUGUAGUAGGAACGUUUGCCUUCGUUUGCCGCUAGGGGCGUUGUUCCAACUCCAUACAAAUUGAAGUAA
rnacentral:pre_miRNA from 1 species